rnacentral:rRNA from 1 species
CUACUCUUGACAUCCUGCGAACUUGGUAGAGAUACCUUGGUGCCUUCGGGAACGCAGAGACAGGUGCUGCAUGGCUGUCGUCAGCUCGUGUUGUGAAAUGUUGGGUUAAGUCCCGUAACGAGCGCAACCCUUGUCCUUAGUUGCCAUCAUUUAGUUGGGGACUCUAAGGAGACUGCCGGUGACAAACCGGAGGAAGGCGGGGACGACGUCAAGUCAUCAUGGCCCUUACGAGUAGGGCUACACACGUGCUACAAUGGCAAGUACAGAGGGCCGCAAAGCCGCGAGGUGGAGCUAAUCUCACAAAGCUUGUCGUAGUCCGGAUUGGAGUCUGCAACUCGACUCCAUGAAGUCGGAAUCGCUAGUAAUCGUGAAUCAGAAUGUCACGGUGAAUACGUUCCC